rnacentral:tRNA from 1 species
AGCUGAUGAGCUCAGUUGGUAGUAGAGCGCUCCACUGGAUAUGGAGAGGUCCCUGGUUCGAUACCAGGACCAGGCG